AGGAAAGCUAUAUGUUAAUCAGCAUCUAACGAGAGAGUAUCGUAACUCUGGGAUUAUUAUACACGAGGAGGGUAAAAGAGGAGAGCGUGGCAACAUUUUCAAGUACACGACCCCACACAUUCCAGAGGAGGGCAUGGUCGCACUCACCGGUGAUCAUGGGCUGGACAUUCAAUUGAGUCAAUAAAAAAAAAAUCUUCCCUCUCAAACAGGUAUCCUUAAUGUAUUUUAGAAUGCUA
rnacentral:lncRNA from 1 species